rnacentral:ncRNA from 1 species
ACUGUUACCUGAUUCCUUUCAGUUUGCUUAUACUUUAAAGAAUGGCCCAGCUAACUAUUGACAACACAAGCAAAGAUUGCUCUAGCUUCUUCCCUGCCAGGCCACUCAGCUUACAUGAACGCGUGACCCACAAUAGUGCAGGAUUUAAUGGCUCCAGGUGUCAGUGGACAGUGUCACGUGGGGAGUCACACUAGGGCAGAAUACCUGUCAAAACAAAAUGCAAUCUCUCAGGGUGAGUCCAGGGAAGAUGGAAAUCUUCCGUGGAGCAGAAGGGCAAAAACUCACCUGAUCUUGAUUUGCAGAUUUUUUUGUGAAAGAGGGGCCUUAUGAUACUUCUGACUUGUUUAGUAAACAGGUGUCAUAAAAGUUACCACAGAGAGGACAGGGAGGCCAAGUGUUUAUAGUGACACAAAAUUGAAAAUUUAAAGUUUAAAAUUGCUUUUUCAUCUUUGUGCUGCUCUUCUUUUCAAUGUAAGGCAGAAUUCACUGAGCUCUGGAUUAUUCUCCUGCUAACAAGGAAUGUGAGCUCCUGGCUUUUGGCUGUUGUAAGAAAGGUUA